rnacentral:rRNA from 1 species
GAUGAACGCUGGCGGCGUGCCUAACACAUGCAAGUCGAACGGAGAUUACGGACGGAAGUUUUCGGAUGGAAGCCUGUAAUUCUUAGUGGCGGACGGGUGAGUAACGCGUGGGCAACCUGCCCUAUACAGGGGGAUAGCAGCUGGAAACGGCUGGUAAGACCGCAUAAGUCGGCGAGACCGCAUGGUUUUGCCGGGAAAUGAGCAAUCAGGUAUAGGAUGGGCCCGCGUCCGAUUAGCCAGUUGGCAGGGUAAAAGCCUACCAAAGCAACGAUCGGUAGCCGGACUGAGAGGUCGGACGGCCACAUUGGGACUGAGACACGGCCCAAACUCCUACGGGAGGCAGCAGUGGGGGAUAUUGCACAAUGGAGGAAACUCUGAUGCAGCGACGCCGCGUGAGUGAAGAAGUAUUUCGGUAUGUAAAGCUCUAUCAGCAGGGAAGAUGAUGACGGUACCUGACUAAGAAGCCCCGGCUAACUACGU